UCUGUGUAAUGUGUAAGGGGUUAAAGAAGAACAAGUGUGGUUUGGUUUAAGAUUGCUGAAUUACUUUCUUUAUCAAUCUGUGUCGCAGUUUGUUUUUCUCCAUCUAAAGGAGGAAAUGGGGAAUUCUCUUUUUCAACCCAGAGCCGUGCAGAGACCAGACUCUGAAGAACUCAGUAUGCCUGACUCAGUGAGGAACCACAGGCCCGACUCGACCUUCUCCCACCUGAAGAUAGAUGGCGCUGAAGCAGCAGAUGAUGAUAUAGACUCAGGAUACUCAUCUGUCAGUCUUGAUGACAACCAAUCGUCAUGUCCACCUCGUGAAUCCACCUGCAGUACUCAGUCAAAUGACAAAAGAAUUAAUUUCCAAAACAAGUAUCGAAGUCUUCUGCUAGAGAGGGAAGAUUUUUAGAAGAACGUUUUUUGACAGACCUCUCACCUGAUUGGAUGGAGGAAGAGGAAGAGGAGGAAGAGGAGACUAAAUCAGUGAUCUAAAAGUCUGAACUUUGUGUCUGGACUUGGGCUGACUGGUUGUUUGAAAACCAUGUUGAGUAUAAUGAUCUGUAGCUCUUUUUGUGACAGCUUGAUUUGGAUACUUAUGGAUUAAACAAAUGUAAAUGAUAAGAUUUGUUAGUGACAUAAGAUGAUGAAGUCAACUCAGCCUUAAAAACAACUGUUGUUUUCUAUUAUCUUACUGUCAUCUGUGUACUCAUUCUUUCAUUUUCUCUGCUGGGAUUCUUUUGAUUGAUUGAAGUCUUUAUUUCAAAUUUGUAUUUUCUUUUUCCC